GAUUACCUCGCGAACUUAAGCAUAUCACUAAGCGGAGGAAAAGAAACUAACCAGGAUUCCCCUAGUAACGGCGAGUGAAGAGGGAAUAGCCCAGCACCGAAGCCUGCGGUAGGUUUACUGCUAGGCAAUGUGGUGUUUGGGUCGACUCGCGGGAUUGCCACUCCACUCGAAGUCCAGCACUGAGUAUGGUUCCCUGGAUUUGGCCCAGAGAGGGUGAAAGGCCCGUGCGAGUGGAGGUUCAGACAUGUGAGGCAAUUCACCAGGUCGACCUUCGAGUCGGGGUGUUUGGAAAUGCAGC
rnacentral:rRNA from 1 species